rnacentral:rRNA from 1 species
UACGAAGGGGGGCUAGCGUUGCUCGGAAUUACUGGGCGUAAAGGGCGCGUAGGCGGGUCGUUUUAGUUAGGGGUGAAAGCCCAGGGCUCAACCCUGGAAUUGCCUUUAAUACUGGCGGCCUUGAGUAUGGCAGAGGUGUGUGGAACUCCGAGUGUAGAGGUGAAAUUCGUAGAUAUUCGGAAGAACACCAGUGGCGAAGGCGACACACUGGGCCAUUACUG